AAGUCGUAACAAGGUUUCCGUAGGUGAACCUGCGGAAGGAUCAUUAGAAAUCACCGGCUUAGCCGGUAUAAAAUUCUAUCCACCCUUGUGUGCAAACAAUGGAAGAAAAGAGAGUCAUUUGGAUACUUUUGUAUCCAAUCUCUCUAAAAUUUUUAUAAACUCCAUCAAAUUUUGAAUAAAACUAAUUUUUUUUUUUUAAAUAAAAAUAUUAUACAACUUUCAACAACGGAUCUCUUGGCUCUC
rnacentral:misc_RNA from 1 species